rnacentral:tRNA from 1 species
GCGCCCGUAGCUCAGUGGAUAGAGUGGCAGACUUCGAAUCUGCGCGUCGGGAGUUCGAACCUCUCCGGGCGUGCCA